AUCCCACUCCAGGAAUUGUGAUCAACAGGCCCAAUGGCACAGAUGUCUAUCAGGGAGUCCCGAAGGACUACACUGGAGAGGAUGUUACCCCACAAAAUUUCCUUGCUGUGUUGAGAGGUGGAGUGAGAAGUCUCCGCUGCUCGGGCCCUCCUGGGGAGCCCCCGCUCCAGGGCUCGCUCCAGGACCUUCUUCACAAGAUGACUUGCUCGCUGUUACCUGCUUCCCCAGUCUUUUCUGAAAAACUACAAAUUAGGGUGGGAAAAGCUCUGUAUUGAGAAGGGUCAUAUUUGCUUUCUAGGAGGUUUGUUGUUUUGCCUGUUAGUUUUGAGGAGCAGGAAGCUCAUGGGGGCUUCUGUAGCCCCUCUCAAAAGGAGUCUUUAUUCUGAGAAUUUGAAGCUGAAACCUCUUUAAAUCUUCAGAAUGAUUUUAUUGAAGAGGGCCGCAAGCCCCAAAUGGAAAACUGUUUUUAGAAAAUAUGAUGAUUUUUGAUUGCUUUUGUAUUUAAUUCUGCAGGUGUUCAAGUCUUAAAAAAUAAAGAUUUAU
rnacentral:lncRNA from 1 species